CCGGGAAUGACCGUGGUGAUCGCAGCGGACGCGGACUGUUAAUCCGCAGGUCGUGGGUUCGAGCCCCACCCCCGGA
rnacentral:tRNA from 1 species